rnacentral:rRNA from 1 species
GACGAACGCUGGCGGCGUGCUUAACACAUGCAAGUCGAACGGAAAGGCCCUGCUUUUGUGGGGUGCUCGAGUGGCGAACGGGUGAGUAACACGUGAGUAACCUGCCCUUGACUUUGGGAUAACUUCAGGAAACUGGGGCUAAUACCGGAUAGGAGCUCCUGCUGCAUGGUGGGGGUUGGAAAGUUUCGGCGGUUGGGGAUGGACUCGCGGCUUAUCAGCUUGUUGGUGGGGUAGUGGCUUACCAAGGCUUUGACGGGUAGACGGCCUGAGAGGGUGACCGGCCACAUUGGGACUGAGAUAAGGCACAGACUCCUACGGGAGGCAGCAGUGGGGAAUAUUGCACAAUGGGCGGAGGCCUGAUGCAGCAACGCCGCGUGCGGGAUGACGGCCUUCGGGUUGUAAACCGCUUUCGCCUUUAACGAAGCGGGAGUGACGGUAAUGGGUAAAGAAGCACCGGCUAACUACGUG